UGCAAGUCGAACGCGCAGCAUUCUGUAGCAAUACAGGAUGUGGGCGCGUGGCGAACGGGUGCGUAACACGUGGAUAACCUUCCUUCAGGUGGGGAAUAACCCAGUGAAAAUUGGGCUAAUACCGCAUAACAUCGCGAUGGCACAUGCUAUUGCGUUCAAAGGCGCAAGUCGCCAGAAGAGGGAUCCGCGGCCGAUUAGCUUGUUGGCGGGGUAACGGCCCACCAAGGCUUUGAUCGGUAGCCGGACUGAGAGGUUGGCCGGCCACACUGGAACUGAGACACGGUCCAGACUCCUACGGGAGGCAGCAGUGGGGAAUCUUGCACAAUGGACGAAAGUCUGAUGCAGCAACGCCGCGUGGGGGAUGAAGCUUCUCGGAGUGUAAACCCCUUUCGACCCGGACGAAUGCCCGCAAGGGUUUGACGGUACGGGUAUAAGAAGCCCCGGCUAACUACGUGCCAGCAGCCGCGGUAAUACGUAGGGGGCCAGCGUUGCUCGGAAUUACUGGGCGUAAAGGGUCCGUAGGCGGUGCGGCAAGUCGAUAGUGAAAUCUCUGGGCUUAACUCAGAGGCUGCUAACGAAACUGCCGUGCUAGAGUGUGAGAGAGGCGAGUGGAAUUACGGGUGUAGCGGUGAAAUGCGUAGAUAUCCGUAGGAACAUCCGAGGCGAAAGCGGCUCGCUGGAUCACAACUGACGCUGAGGGACGAAAGCUAGGGGAGCAAACAGGAUUAGAUACCCUGGUAGUCCUAGCCCUAAACCAUCAGACUCGGGGUUUGCCCUGUACGGGGCAAGUCCCGUAGCUAACGCGUUAAGUCCUGCGCCUGGGGAGUACGGUCGCAA
rnacentral:rRNA from 1 species